rnacentral:rRNA from 1 species
ACGAAGGGGGCUAGCGUUGUUCGGAAUAACUGGGCGUAAAGCGCGCGUAGGCGGGCUGUUAAGUCAGGGGUGAAAUCCCGGGGCUCAACCCCGGAACUGCCUUUGAUACUGGCAGCCUAGAGUUCGAGAGAGGUGAGUGGAAUUCCGAGUGUAGCAGUGAAAUGCGUAGAUAUGCGGAGGAACACCGAUGGCGAAGGCAGCCUCCUGGGCCAGUACUGACGCUCAUGCACGAAAGCGUGGGGAGCAAACAG